UGUGGGGGAUGGAGUACACCGGUGAACACAUCGUUCACAAACACCUACAGGUUGCGAGUCUGCUAGUGUUCCACUGGACUGUCUAGAAGAGUCCGUGGUCGUCAUCCAUACUCUGCUAGAUGACAGAAACAACAACAUCAACAUCGAGGCCUCUCAUCAUUUUAUCACACAUCACCUAUUACAUCUACCCAUGUUUUACCCCAACAUUUUCGUAGAUAUAAAAUACAUAUACAGUUUAAAUCAUUGAAAACAUGUAUAACAACGUUCAUCCAGCAUAGAUAGCAAGUAUUCAGAUAAUAUGCACACAUAGCACGUAAUUUAUAUAAAAUACUUCAUAUCUAUGUGUAAGCUGAAAGUAACUAUGCACUCACCUGAUUAGGUGGUGACUCAGCACUCGGACAGCGCUUCGAUACUCUCAAAACGAUAUUCCUUCGAUAAAACCUAGUAUCGAUACCACUAGGGUUUAGUUUAACGAUAACCGCGACAAAUUAAUUAGUCCGAGUAUUAUUAAGCGUUAAUAAUACUCGAUAUAACUCAUAAUAAUAGCCCAAAUAAUUAUUUUAAGGACCUAAUAACAUUCCUAUAAUUAUUUGAAAGCUAUAUUAAAAAUUGCGUAAGCGUAGCACACUUACAGCGAAUUUUAUCGAAAACCGGGACUUAAUUGGAGCAGCGUUUCGAAACCGAAAAACUCCUUUUUCUCGGGACUCCGGGAGCCUCGGGGCUUCCCUAGGGUGCUAAGGGGCUUAACUAGGGCUUAGGGGGGUUUAUAGCACUUAGAGAGAGAAAGAAGUUAGAGAGAGAAGUGAAAAAGGUGUGAAAAAUGAAGAACCAUCGGCCCCCUUUUAUAGCCAUGCGAGGCCUCGGUACGUUGGGCGUACCUCGGACCUACGUGGGGCGUAGCCAUCGGAUAAGAGCGCCUGAUCGACUCCAGCUGUUAGCCACUUCGGACCGGAAAAGACCGAGGUUACGCGGGGUGUUCCGGAUCUCGUACGCGAGGCGUAGGGCGAGGCUUCGUGGCAUGAUCCGAAGCGAGAUCUGAGACCUUCAUCGGACGGCCCACAACGCGCCACGUCACCAGUCUCGCACCAGUUUUCAUAUUUUCAUACUUCAACUUUAAAAAUUCAUAACUUUCUCAUACGAACUCCGUUUUUGACGUUCUUUAUAUCCACGCGAAGGUGGGAACGUACUCUACAACUUUCGUUUAGACUCCGUCGGCUAAUUUUGGCUCGAUUUUAAAUUUUAUAUUAUUAACGGGCCGGGACACGAUUGGUCCGUUAAAUCCUCAUAACUUCUUCAUCCGACAUCCGUUUUCGCCCAUCUUUUUCUCAUUACGCUACUCUCAACGAGAUCUUCGAUUCUCGUUUAGGUCGUGUCGGCUAACAACCGCUCGAUCUAAUAUUCGAAUUUUGGGUUGUACACUGCUAUUCCGAAACUUCGAAAAAUCAUAACUUCUUCACACAAAGUCAGAUUUGGGCGUUCUUUUUAUCGAUGCUCUUAGUGUAACAUAUUCUACGAAUUUCGUUUAGAUUGCUAAGGCUAAAUCUCGCUCUAUCGUAAAUUCAGUAUUCACGCUUCCUGGUAUCGUGCCGGUUCUGUCACGAGACUUCGACGGGUCAUAACUUCUUCGUUAUAACUCGGAUUUUGGCAUUCUUUAUAUGUACGGAAACCUUGAGACAUAUUCUACAACUUUAUGUAGAGAUAUCGAGCUUAUCUCACACUUUAAUUUUGACGCUUAUUUUUUUAUUCUUUAUUAAUUAUACGCUUAUAAUUAAACAAUAAACACAUAAUUCACAUAAUUCUCAAAUAUUUCUUCUUUAUUACUUCAAAAAGAGUUACAAGAGUUGACCUAGACUAUUACAUUGACAAAAAUGCUUAGCCCUGAAACCCGGGCGUUACAAUUCUCUCCCCCUUAGGAUGAUUCCGUCCCGGAAUCAUGCAUCAGCAAACAGAUGUGGAUAGCGACUCAUCAUGUCAUCCUCUGUUUCCCAAGUGAGAUUCGGCCCAUUCGAAUGUUUCCAUCGGACUAGCACCAAGUCGACCAUCUUGCGUCGUAACUUCUUAGUCUUACGGUCAACAAUUGCCUCAGGCUCUUCGAUCAACCUUUUAUUUUCAUCCAUCCUUAACUCUGAGAUUGGAAUUAUGUCGGGAACAUCUCCCGUGAAUUUCCUCAAAUAACACACAUGGAAGGUGUUAUGAAUACCAUUGAGUUCUUCGGGCAAUUCCAGCUUGUAAGCUUGGUUCCCUAUCUUCUGAAGAACUUUGAACGGUCCAAUAAACCUUGGACUCAACUUUCCUCGUUUCCCAAAUCGUAUAAGUCCCUUCCACGGUGAGACUUUAAGCAAAACGGAAUCCCCAACUUCGAAAGUUAUCGGUCGUCUUUUCUUGUCAGCAUAGCUCUUCUGACGAUCCUGGGCUGCUAACAUCCUUUCCCUAAUCACCUUCAACUUCUCAGCAGUCUCAUGGACUAUCUCGGGGCCCAUAAACUGCUUCUCUCCGGCUUCAAGCCAACAAGACGGCGUACGACACUUCUGCCCAUACAAGGCUUGAUAAGGAGCCAUCUUGAUGCUCGAGUGAAAACUAUUGUUGUAGGAAAAUUCUACCAGAGGUAAGUGCUCGUCCCAAUUCCCUUGGAAUUCGAGGGUACAUGCUCUCAGCAUAUCUUCCAGCGUCUGAAUCGUUCUUUCGCUCUGACCAUCAGUUUGCGGAUGAUAAGCAGUACUCAAACACAACUUUGUACCUAACUCCUCUUGUAGACUCCUCCAAAACCUUGACGUGAAACGACUAUCACGAUCUGAUACAAUCGUAAGAGGGACACCGUGAAGUCUUACAAUUUCCUUCACGUAAGCAUUUGCGAGCUUAUCCAUAGACCACUUCUCGUUGGCUGCUAUGAAGUGUGCACUCUUGGUGAAACGAUCCACGACUACCCAAAUCAUGUCGUGACCGUUCUUCGUCCUGGGCAGUUUAGUCACAAAAUCCAUGGUGAUGUCUUCCCAUUUACCCAUGGGUACAGGUAAAGGUUCUAAACUCCCAUACGGUUUCUGAUGUUGUGCCUUAACCCUCGCACAUGUUACGCACUCGGCCACAUACUUCGCAACAUCGAGCUUCAUCGUCGGCCACCAGUAGUAGGGUUUUAGGUCCCUAUACAUUUUAGUGCUACCGGGAUGAAUCGAGUACAUGGUCUUGUGUGCUUCUUCCAUCAGAAGAUCUCUUAUUCCUCCCGUCUUAGGUACCCAAAUUCGAUCUUGGAAUACCUUCAGUCCUCGACUGUUUGUACCAAACACUAACGUUCUUCCCAAACGUUCUUCCUUUCGGUCAUUUUUCUCUAAAGCUUCUUCUUGAGCUUUCCUGAUACUUUCCACAAUCGUCGAGACGACUUCAAUUCUUAACGCUCUUGGCCUUUUCCUUUCCAGAUUGACUUUCCGACUGAGAGCAUCAGCAACAAUAUUUGCUUUACCUGGGUGGUAAAGUAUCUCACAGUCGUAGUCCUUGAGAAGUUCUAGCCAGCGUCGUUGCCUCAUGUUCAACUCCUUCUGAUUAAAGAGAUACUGGAGACUCUUAUGAUCAGUGAAGAGCUUGCACUUCGUGCCGUAGAGGUAAUGCCUCCAUAUCUUUAAGGCAAAAACUACCGCUGCCAACUCCAGAUCAUGAGUGGGGUAGUUCUUUUCGUGCUCUUUCAAUUGUCGAGAUGCGUAUGCUAUCACCUUUUCUCUUUGGGUCAGAACACAACCCAACCCGACUCCAGAAGCGUCACUAUAAACCGCGAAAUCUUCGACUCCAUCGGGUAGAGAAAGUAUCGGUGCUUCACAUAACUUCUUCUUUAGCUUCUCGAAUGCCUCAUCGUGUUUCUCACUCCACGUAUACGUAGCUCCUUUAUGAGUCAAAGCUGUUAAUGGAGCAGCUAUCGAAGAAAAGCCUUGGAUAAAUCGUCGAUAAUAUCCGGCUAAUCCUAGAAAGCUUCGAAUCUCCGUGGGACUCUUUGGACGUUCCCACUUCAUUACAGCCUCGAUCUUUGCGGGGUCAACCAUUAUUCCCUCCUGGUUAACAACAUGACCCAAGAAUUGGACUUCCCGUAUCCAAAAGUCGCAUUUGGAGAACUUUGCAAAAAGCUUCUCCUUCUUCAACACUUCUAAUACUUCCCGUAGAUGCUUGCCAUGCUCCUCUUGGCUUUUCGAGUAGAUGAGAAUGUCGUCGAUGAACACUAUCACGGAUUUAUCGAGGAAUGGUUUACAAACCCUAUUCAUCAAAUCCAUGAAUGCUGCGGGAGCAUUGGUUAGCCCGAAUGACAUAACCAAGAACUCGUAGUGUCCAUAUCUCGUUCUGAAUGCAGUCUUCUCAAUAUCCUGCUUUCUCACCUUUAGCUGAUGAUAUCCUGACCUAAGAUCGAUCUUUGAGAAGUAGCUCGAACCUUGCAGCUGAUCGAAUAGGUCAUCAAUCCUCGGCAAUGGAUACUUGUUCUUCACCGUUGCCUUAUUCAGCUCUCGGUAGUCUAUACACAUUCUCAUACUUCCGUCCUUCUUCUUCACGAAUAACACCGGAGCUCCCCAGGGUGAUGAACUAGGUCGAAUAAAACCGUUGUCCAACAGCUCCUGAAGUUGCGUCAUGAGCUCCUUCAUCUCCGUCGGUGCUAAUCGGUAAGGUGCCUUUGCUAUCGGUGUUGUUCCUGGUAACAAGUCUAUACGAAACUCCACUUGCCUAUCAGGUGGUAAUCCGGGAAGAUCUUCGGGAAAGACUUCCGGAUAAUCACACACAACCGGUAUAUUCUGCACCUCUUUCUUCUCCUUCUUGGCAUCGAUUACGAAUGCCAAGUAUGAUGCACAUCCUUUGGACAAACAUUUCCUGGCUUUCAUCAGGGAGAUGAUUCCAGAAUUCACUCUGCGUUUGUCCCCAUACACCAUAAAUGAUUCUUUUCCGGGUGGGUUUACCUUUACUAUCUUCUUUCGGCAUUGAAUCUCAGCAUCGUUGGCGCUAAGCCAAUCCAUACCCAAAACGAUGUCGAAACCGUUUAACUCUAUGGGUAAUAGCUCUUCGUGGAAUUCGUUUCCGUUUAGGUCAAUGACGAUGUUCCUAAUACGAUUACUAACAGGUACGAAUUUGCCACUGGCAACUUCUACAAUCAGGGCAUUAUCUAGUUUUUCUACAGGCAAUGCUAAUUUCCCACCAAAUUUAUGCGACACAAAGGAGUAGUUGGCUCCGGAAUCAAAUAGUAUAUUUGCAGGCAAACCAUUUACAAGAAAGGUACCUGAAGCGACGUCUGCUGCCUCCUUUGCAGCCUCGAGCGUCAUCUGGAAGGCUCUCGCCUUCGGCUUCGGUGGUAUGUUGGGUCUUCCUGUCUCCUUCUUCUUCGGGCAGUCCUUCAAAAUGUGCCCUUCUUCAUUGCACCCAUAACAGGCUUUCUGGUUGAGGGUGCAUUCAUUGGCGUAGUGCCCAGGCUUUCCGCACUUGUAACAAGUGACCCCUCCGUCACACUUCCCAGAGUGCUUCUUCUUGCACUUGUCACACCACUUCGCUUCUGAUCCUCCUCCCCUCGAACCAGACUUCGAGAAUCUACUCUUCUUGUUGGACUUCGAGGAUCCAUUGAACUUCCGUUUCUCACCAACCUCAGCCCUCUCCAGACCUCUUUCCUUUUGUUGGGUCUCCACGUUCUUAGCUGCUCGAACAGCUGAUUUCAGAGUGGUUGCCAUCUUGACUGUUGGGCCAAAGUCAGCCGGCAGUCCGUUUGCGAAUUUCUCAAUUUUGGAAAGUUCGGUUGGCACUAGGUAUGGAAACAACUUCAUCUUUUCCGUAAAUGCAGCAGCAUAGUCAUCGAUGCUCAUUCUCCCCUUCUUCAAAUUUUGGAACUCAUUGUUCAGAUCAAUCAGGUCUAUCUCUGAACAGUACUGCGCCUUCAGUUGUUCCAAGAACUCAUCCCAUGACAUUUUCAGAGCUUCUCCCCGUGGCAUUGUAUCUGCCAAUAGCUUCCACCAGCUCAAGACUCCAGUUUUCAAUUGUCUCACAGCGAAGACAGUCUUCUGCUUCUCGCUGCAGUCGCAGCUCUCAAACACCAUCUCCAUCUCGGAGAUCCAGUCCAUAAUCUCAACAGGCUUUGGGCUUCCUGAGAGACUUGGUGGUUUCGCACCCAAGAAAUUUUUGUACAUCCGCCCAUCCUUGUUGUUUCUCCCUUCUGGGCCAUCCUUUUGCUCACCUUGAGUCCCUACUUGACUCACUUGGCGGCUAUAGUUCCCUUCCUCAGAUGGCUCGGGAACUGGCUCCGUCGGUUCAACAUGUAUGGUAGGUUCGUCCCUAUUUUCGUGGAGCAUCCGUCUCAUUUCUUCCCUUUGUUCAGCUAGCAUAGCCUGAAUCAUGGCUUGAACUCCAGCCAUGGUGACUGGCUCAGGUGCAACUUCUUCAACAACAGGUAUUUGCUGAACCACUGGGGGUUGGUUCCUACCUCCAUUUGCGUUCACGUUUCCGCUACGGGUCCUUGCCAUCUUGAUCUAUACACCGAAUAAGGUGAAUUUAGAUCUUUAUUUAGGAUAGACGUUUUAAAUCGUCCUUAUCACUCCGAAACGUUUACAUGCUAGUUCUAAUAUCGUAGUCGUACGUUUAGAAUCCUAAACACAUAAGGUUUCCAGAUCCGGUCGGCAACAGACCAUAGAUCCGAACAAUUAACAGCAUAUUAUGCACAAAGCAUUUAGCACAUAAAAGCAUUUUAGGCACAAUUCCUAAAAUAAGCUAGUGCUCACACCUCACAAUCAUCGCUUAGCAUUCUAAGUUUAAGUCUAGAAAUCCUACAAAUUCCUAGUUCGCUUAAACUAAUGCUCUGAUACCAACUGUGACAUCCCCAAAAUCACGGCCAGAAAAGACCGGUUUGUUUAUGCUUUGUUUAAAAAUCAGAGUUACAUUUUAAAUGAAAGUGUUGCGGAAUUUGUCCCAAAACAAAAAUAUGAUAAAGAUUUAUCAAAAGCAUUUCCAUAGAAAUGUAUUUCAUUAAAAGACUCGGGAUGUCAUGUUCGUACAGAUCAAAAGCAUAAACAGUACAAUAUAAGCCUUACUACAUUAUUUCAUAUCUACAGGCCUAUAUCCGUAAUCCCUCGUCCAAAACAUCACACCUAUGCUCAUGCGCCACUACCUGUAAUACAUAAAACUGAGUGGGUCAGGCUUGGGAGCCUGGUGAGCACAUAGGGUUUUCAACCCACAAUAAAUAAGUUUAUUAAUUUCAUCGAUCAACAAUAACCCGAUUACCCGUUCCCGUUAUCCUCACUUUACGUCCCUAAACACCUAUCAUAAGGGACCUAGCCUAAGGAUCAUCAUCGGGACGGACACUACUGCUAAGGGGAUUCCUCAGCAAUAAAUGUCCUAAAGGCAACCAUGUGGGGGAUGGAGUACACCGGUGAACACAUCGUUCACAAACACCUACAGGUUGCGAGCCUGCUAGUGUUCCACUGGACUGUCUAGAAGAGUCCGUGGUCGUCAUCCAUACUCCGCUAGAUGACAGAAUCAACAACAUCAACAUCGAGGCCUCUCAUCAUUUUAUCACACAUCACCUAUUACAUCUACCCAUGUUUUACCCUAACAUUUUCGUAGAUAUAAAAUACAUAUACAAUUUAAAUCAUUGAAAACAUGUAUAACAACGUUCAUCCAGCAUAGAUAGCAAGUAUUCAGAUAAUAUGCACACAUAGCACGUAAUUUAUAUAAAAUACUUCAUAUCUAUGUGUAAGCUAAAAGUAACUAUGCACUCACCUGCUUAGGUGGUGACUCAGCACUCGGACAGUGCUUCGAUACUCUCAAAACGAUAUUCCUUCGAUAAAACCUAGUAUCGAUACCACUAGGGUUUAGUUUAACGAUAACCGCGACAAAUUAAUUAGUCCGAGUAUU
rnacentral:lncRNA from 1 species